AUGGAUGCUGGUAUUUCCUGGCUUGCAUUCUGGCAGGCAUGUUCAUUAAGGGGGGAAAAGAAAAUCAAUCCACGCUUCUGUGCUUUUUUCCAUAGGUGUGAAGAUCUCCCCCGUGUUCAGAAAAACAGCGUCAGGGAGAGGGAGUCAUGUGGCAUUACUACUAACAGGCAUCUGAAAUUUUCAGUUGAAUCCAAGACUCCAUGUAUGGUUAUUGCAGUCAGAGAUGGCAUUUUUAUUGUGUGGCAGACGUACCAACACACUGCACAGAGAAGAGGAAUUAUUUGUGGAAUGCAGCAUCAGCCAAGUCUCAACACACACUCUGGAAAGAAUUGGCGUAGGCUCACCUGGUUUUGCGUGCAGAGGAGUCUUGAAGUGUAGGAGUUUGGACUGGUUUUUCUUUUUCUUUCUCUUCAUUAUUACUACAAAAAAACAGAUGCAAAUCUCCCAUUGCCUGCUUGCUUUUCACAUUUCUCAAAGUCAGAAUAGCUGUAGCUUUCAGUAGGACUUACCUUGUUGCAAACA
rnacentral:lncRNA from 13 species